rfam:Phormidium ambiguum IAM M-71 NIES-2119_Scaffold_22, whole genome shotgun sequence.
AAACCAUUGAAUCCGCUAAGAUAUCAAAGCACACAAAACUUAGCAAUGUAGGGAAACUCCGGUGUAAAUCCGGGGCUGUGCCGCAGCUGUAAGCGAGAGAUAGAUUAUCUUUAGUUGUAAACUGUCUACAUCGCUAGCCAGAACGCCUACUUGUCAAAGCCCACUUUA